rnacentral:rRNA from 1 species
UACGUAGGGGGCGAGCGUUAUCCGGAAUUACUGGGCGUAAAGCGCACGCAGGCGGUUGGCCAAGUUCCUACUGACAAGCAUCGGCUUCACUGAUGAGGGGGUAGGAAAACUGGCGAACUUGAGAGCGAGAGAGGGAUAUGGAAUUCCAGGAGGAGCAGUGAAAUGCGUAGAGAUCUGGAGGAACACCGAUGGCGAAGGCAGUAUCCUGGCUCGUAUCUGACGCUCAGGGGCGAAGGCCAGGGGAG